rnacentral:rRNA from 1 species
GAUGAACGCUGGCGGCGUGCCUAAUACAUGCAAGUCGAGCGAACGGACGAGAAGCUUGCUUCUCUGAUGUUAGCGGCGGACGGGUGAGUAACACGUGGAUAACCUACCUAUAAGACUGGGAUAACUUCGGGAAACCGGAGCUAAUACCGGAUAAUAUUUUGAACCGCAUGGUUCAAAAGUGAAAGACGGUCCUGCUGUCACUUAUAGAUGGAUCCGCGCUGCAUUAGCUAGUUGGUAAGGUAACGGCUUACCAAGGCAACGAUGCAUAGCCGACCUGAGAGGGGGAUGGGCCACACUGGAACGGAGACACGGCCCAGACUCCUACGGGAGGCAGCAGUAGGGAAUCUUCGGCAAUGGGCGAAAGCCUGACGGAGCAACGCCGCGUGAGUGAUGAAGGUCUUCGGAUCGUAAAACUCUGUUAUUAGGGAAGAACAUAUGUGUAAGUAACUGUGCACAUCUUGACGGUACCUAAUCAGAAAGCCACGGCUAACUACGUG